GGGAAUGUGGCUUAGUGGUAGAGUGCUUGUUUUGCAUGCAUGAAGCCCUGGGUUUGAUUUCUCAGUACCA
rnacentral:tRNA from 1 species